rnacentral:rRNA from 1 species
AAAAACUUAGUCUCAGUUCAGAUUGCAGGCUGAAACUCGCCUGCAUGAAGUCGGAAUUGCUAGUAAUCGCAGAUCAGCAUGCUGCGGUGAAUACUUCCCGGGGGGGGCCUUGUACACACCGCCCGUCACACCAUGGGAGUCGGUAACACCCGAAGCCUGUAGUCUAACCGCAAGGAGGACGCAGUCGAAGGUGGGAUUGAUGACUGGGGUGAAGUCGUAACAAGGUAGC